GAUGAACGCUGGCGGCGUGCCUAAUACAUGCAAGUCGAGCGAACAGACGAGGAGCUUGCUCCUCUGACGUUAGCCGCGGACGGGUGAGUAACACGUGGAUAACCUACCUAUAAGACUGGGAUAACUUCGGGAAACCGGAGCUAAUACCGGAUAAUAUAUUGAACCGCAUGGUUCAAUAGUGAAAGACGGUUUUGCUGUCACUUAUAGAUGGAUCCGCGCCGCAUUAGCUAGUUGGUAAGGUAACGGCUUACCAAGGCAACGAUGCGUAGCCGACCUGUGAGGGUGAUCGGCCACCCUGGAACUGAGACACGGUCCAGACUCCUACGGGAGGCAGCAGUAGGGAAUCUUCCGCAAUGGGCGAAAGCCUGACGGAGCAACGCCGCGUGAGUGAUGAAGGUCUUCGGAUCGUAAAGCUCUGUUAUUAGGGAAGAACAAAUGUGUAAGUAACUAUGCACGUCUUGACGGUACCUAAUCAGAAAGCCACGGCUAACUACGUG
rnacentral:rRNA from 1 species